rnacentral:rRNA from 1 species
UACGUAGGGCGCAAGCGUUAUACGGAAUUAUUGGGCGUAAAGAGCUCGUAGGCGGUUUGUCGCGUCUGCCGUGAAAGUCCGGGGCUCAACUCCGGAUCUGCGGUGGGUACGGGCAGACUAGAGUGAUGUAGGGGAGACUGGAAUUCCUGGUGUAGCGGUGAAAUGCGCAGAUAUCAGGAGGAACACCGAUGGCGAAGGCAGGUCUCUGGGCAUUAACUGACGCUGAGGAGCGAAAGCAUGGGGAGCGAACAGG